GAUGAACGUUGGCGGUGUGCCUAAUACAUGCAAGUCGAACGGAGACUGUAGCAAUACUGUCUUAGUGGCGAACGGGUGAGUAACGCGUUGGUGAUCUGCCUCGAAGUGUGGAAUAACCUCCCGAAAGGGAAGCUAAUACCGCAUAGUCUCUCAAGGUUUAGAAAAUUGAGAGUAAAGGAUUUAUUCGCUUCGAGAGGAGCCUGCGUCCCAUCAGCUAGUUGGUAGGGUAACGGCCUACCAAGGCUAUGACGGGUAGGGGACCUGAGAGGGUCGGCCCCCCACAAUGGAACUGAAACACGGUCCAUACACCUACGGGUGGCAGCAGUAGGGAAUAUUAGAAAUGGACGAAAGUCUGAUCUAGCAACACCGCGUGUGCGAAGAAGGCCUUCGGGUCGUAAAGCACUUUUUGGAAGGAAUAGGAAGGAAUGUACUUCCAGAAUAAGUCUCGGCUAACUACGUG
rnacentral:rRNA from 1 species